UUUGAGGCCCCGUAAUUGAAAUGAGUACACUCUAAAUCCUUUAACGAGGAUCAAUUGGAGGGCAAGUCUGGUGCCAGCAGCCGCGGUAAUUCCAGCUCCAAUAGCGUAUACUAAAGCUGCUGCGGUUAAAAAGCUCGUAGUUGGAUCUCAGUUCCAGACGAGUAGUGCAUCUACCCGAUGCGACGGCUCGGACUGAACAUCAUGCCGGUUCUUUCUUGGUGCACUUCAUUGUGUGCCUCGAGAUGGCCGGUGCUUUUACUUUGAAAAAAUUAGAGUGCUCAACGCAGGCGAGUCGCCUGAAUAAACUUGCAUGGAAUAAUAGAACAAGACCUCGUUUCUGUUCUGUUGGUUUUUGGAAUACGAGGUAAUGAUUAAGAGGGACGGACGGGGGCAUUCGUAUUGCGGCGCUAGAGGUGAAAUUCUUGGACCGUCGCAAGACGAACUACUGCGAAAGCAUUUGCCAAGAAUGUUUUCAUUGAUCAAGAACGAAAGUCAGAGGUUCGAAGGCGAUCAGAUACCGCCCUAGUUCUGACCAUAAACGAUGCCAACCAGCGAUCCGCCUGAGUUACUCAAAUGACUCGGCGGGCAGCUUCCGGGAAACCAAAGUAUUUGGGUUCCGGGGGAAGUAUGGUUGCAAAGCUGAAACUUAAAGGAAUUGACGGAAGGGCACCACCAGGAGUGGAGCCUGCGGCUUAAUUUGACUCAACACGGGAAAACUUACCCGGCCCGGACACUGGGAGGAUUGACAGAUUGAGAGCUCUUUCUUGAUUCGGUGGAUGGUGGUGCAUGGCCGUUCUUAGUUGGUGGAGCGAUUUGUCUGGUUAAUUCCGAUAACGAACGAGACUCUAGCCUAUUAAAUAGGUGCGGGGUUCCCAGCACCUUACAACCUUCUUAGAGGGACAAGCGGCUCCUAGCCGCACGAAACAGAGCAAUAACAGGUCUGUGAUGCCCUUAGAUGUCCGGGGCCGCACGCGCGCUACACUGAAGGAAGCAGCGUGUCUUUAUCCCUGUCUGAAAAGACUGGGUAACCCGUGGAACUUCUUUCGUGAUUGGGAUAGGGGCUUGCAAUUGUUCCCCUUGAACGAGGAAUUCCCAGUAAGCGCGAGUCAUAAGCUCGCGUUGAUUACGUCCCUGCCCUUUGUACACACCGCCCGUCGCUACUACCGAUUGAAUGAUUUAGUGAGGUCUUCGGACCGAUGUCCGGCGCGGCCUUUCGGUUGCGCCGGUCUGUUGGAAAGAUGACCAAACUUGAUCAUUUAGAGGAAGUAAAAGUCGUAACAAGGUUUCCGUAGGUGAACCUGCGGAAG
rnacentral:rRNA from 1 species